UCUAACAGGUAGCCAGCGAGCUCGGCGGGAGCUCCGCCGCGUGCGUGCAGCUCCGUCGCCGUGUGUGCAGUGGGCUGGAGCUGCUGGGCUCCUUCCUCGACGACGAAUCGAGGUCUGCUGCUGCGGAAUCAAGAUUCCGCACAGUCAAAUCGAGCUCUGCUCUGCCGACCCGGUGUAGCAAUUGUUCGGACAAGGUGAAACUAUUGAGAGUGCAAUAACUUUUUUCCUCCUCUCUAAGGUAAGAUAGUUAUAUCUUUUUUUUUCUGCUAUCUUUGUUGUCCUUCUCAAAUUUGGAUUAGGCCUUCUACCUUGUAAUUAAAUCCAUGCUAUGAAUUAGUGGUGUCUGCAUUCAUCUUAUCAUUUGUCUGAUCUAUCAUGUGAUUGAUAUAUUUAUCUUUCCAAUGAUUGUGUUAUUUCUGAUAUUUUGGACUAAAACUAUGUUGUGCAGAAAUUUGUGUCCUAAUCUCUUUGUAAGCAGAAUUUCAGAUUUUCAGCUCCUCUGGUAAUGUUCUCUUGUUUGUGAAUUUUUGUUCGGAAUUAUUUUAAGGUAAUUUGAGAUGUUAACUUAUUUUGCCCGUAACUAUCCGAUUGCCUCUUGGUUUACUUAUGAUUGGGAUUUGGAGAUGGUGGAAGGUGGAGUUUUGGGAAGAGUUUAUGACUUUCUCUAGGCGAAGAUAAUGAGUUGUGCUAUGCUUGCAGUAAUAUAUGAUAGGGAAAGAGGUGCUUGCAUUCAUGGUUGAUAAAGUAUCUUUCGUUUGUAGGGACAUUAAUAGUUUAAGCAAAUAGUAUAUCAUCUUAUUGACGCAGUUUUCAUGGUUUAUAGAAUUUUUGCAGAGCAAUUGAUACUUAAAUUGUACAGAUGUUGUUUAUUGGAGGAAACAAUGUUUCUAUGGGAAGUUUCAAGACAAGAUAGUGGCAGGUGCAAGAUGCCCCUCUCUCCUUAUCAUUGCUUAAGUUGUUCUCUGUAUAAUAAGAACUGAGUGUUAAUAGAUCUGGCAUGAAGACUUUGAUUUGACCAAUCAAAUAGCACCUUCUUUCUUUUGGAUA